rnacentral:misc_RNA from 1 species
AAGUCGUAACAAGGUUUCCGUAGGUGAACCUGCGGAAGGAUCAUUACUGAAUGUCAACAGGAGCUGUUGCUGGCCUUCACAUGGAGGCAUGUGCACGCUCCGUUACACAUCCACUCACACCUGUGCACCCUCUGUAGUUCUGUGGUCGGGGAGGUUCGCCUCCUUGGCUGUGGCUCUACGUUUUUUACACACACUCUGUAUAAGUAUCAUGGAAUGUAUAUGGCGUAUAACGCAAUAAAAUACAACUUUCAGCAACGGAUCUCUUGGCUCUC